GACGAACGCUGGCGGCGUGCUUAACACAUGCAAGUCGAACGGAAAGGCCCUGCUUUUGUGGGGUGCUCGAGUGGCGAACGGGUGAGUAACACGUAAGUAACCUGCCCUUGACUUUGGGAUAACUUCAGGAAACUGGGGCUAAUACCGGAUAGGAGCUCCUGCUGCAUGGUGGGGGUUGGAAAGUUUCGGCGGUUGGGGAUGGACUCGCGGCUUAUCAGCUUGUUGGUGGGGUAGUGGCUUACCAAGGCUUUGACGGGUAGCCGGCCUGAGAGGGUGACCGGCCACAUUGGGACUGAGAUACGGCCCAGACUCCUACGGGAGGCAGCAGUGGGGAAUAUUGCACAAUGGGCGGAAGCCUGAUGCAGCAACGCCGCGUGCGGGAUGACGGCCUUCGGUUUGUAAACCGCUUUCGCCUGUGACGAAGCGUGAGUGACGGUAAUGGGUAAAGAAGCACCGGCUAACUACGUG
rnacentral:rRNA from 1 species